UGCCGGUGGAUUUAACGGCCC
rnacentral:siRNA from 1 species